GCCUUUGUAGUCUAGUGGUUAUCAUUCCUGUCUAUUUGACUGAUGGAGACGGAGCGUUUGAUUCCUCCCAAGGGCA